UGAGGAAUAUUGGUCAAUGGGCGCAAGCCUGAACCAGCCAUGCCGCGUGCAGGAUGACUGCCCUACGGGUUGUAAACUGCUUUUGUACGAGAAGAACCUUCCGAACGUGUUCGGGACUGACGGUAUCGUACGAAUAAGGAUCGGCUAACUCCGUGCCAGCAGCCGCGGUAAUACGGAGGAUCCAAGCGUUAUCCGGAUUCAUUGGGUUUAAAGGGUGCGCAGGCGGAAUAGUAAGUCAGUGGUGAAAUCCUGCAGCUUAACUGUAGAAUUGCCAUUGAUACUGCUAUUCUUGAGUAUAGUUGAGGUGGGCGGAAUGUGUAAUGUAGCGGUGAAAUGCAUAGAUAUUACACAGAACGUCAAUUGCGAAGGCAGCUCACUAAACUAUAACUGACGCUGAGGCACGAAAGCGUGGGGAGCGAACA
rnacentral:rRNA from 1 species